CCAUUCCUAGUGGGAAGUAUUUUGGUUUUAACUUCCUUUGGAAAAUCUCCCAAGCUUGAGGGGGAAAUAAACAUACUCCAAGAAUCAAAGCUCCUUUUAGAAUUUCAAUUUUAAAUUUUUUUUUUCGGGAACUCUGGCGCUGGCCCUUUAAAUUUUUUUUUCUUCUUAAUCAACAUUUCAUCCCUCUCUUGUUGGCUGCCAAGACCAGCCUUGUCCUGGACUCCCAGGGAUCUGAAAAGUUUUGGCAGGCUGAGGAGGAAAAUGGGCGGAGACACUCACAAAGAGGACAUCCUGGAGGAACUACAAAAGAAGAUGCUGACGUUAAUCGGUGCAGGAGGUCCCAGAGCUCCAGGAUGUCAGAGUGAAUGGAGCAAGCACAUAGGAACAGCGGAAGCACGUGCCUUGUUCUAGCAAUGCCAAAAGCAGAAUCUGUGAUAAAAUCACUUCCUAUCUGUCUGUCUGUCUAUCAUCUAUAUUUCUCUUUUGAGAACUAAAAGGGAACUAAAACUCCCAUCGACAUCGUCCUCAUCCUCUGCUUUCUAUCCCGCUAUCUUCAUAAUCUCUCAGGCACUUCAAAACAGAAGGGUAGUUAGAAAAAGGAAAAGAAAUCUAUCCAUCAAAGGGCAGAGGAUGCGACUCAGUAGCAUGUCCUGGAAAUGCUGGCCUUGUUUGCUCUGAGUAUGUGAUGGUGCUUUAGGACCUACAACAUGAGGGAACUUAAAUUACAUCUCUCAAAACAUUCUUGCCUACUAAAGUGAAUAAACUAU